AUGCCUUUUUUUUGGUCAUCAUCAAACAACGAUAAUAAUGAUGAAAAAGGUAAAACAAAUAAAAAUGAAGACAUACCACCACCACUACUUAACAAUGCAUUUAUAACUGAGAAUAUGAAUAUUGUAACAAAUUUACAAAAAGAGUUAAACCUAUUAAAAAAUAGCGUCAAAAAAUCAGACACAUUUUUAGAUGAUGUGUUCCCAACUUUUGAAAAUAAUUUAGUAAAAAAUGUUGAAAAUAAAAUUAAAAAAUAUUUAGAAAUAUAUAAAAAAGAUAUAAUAAAUGAAAUAAAUGAGUCGAAAAGUGUAUAUAAUGAAGAAAAAUAUAAAAAAAUAGAACUAAAACAAGAAAAAAUACAAAAGGAAUUAUUAAUCAUGAUAAAUAAUCAAAUAAAAACAGAAACAAAUAUAAUCAAAGAAGAUUUUAAUAAAACAUUUACAAAUCUGUUAGAAAGUAGUGUUAGUAGUGGUAAAAAAAAUGAUCCUACAUAUACUCCUCAAAUAAAUACAAAAAAUUAUAGUUCCUUUGAAAUAUUACAACAAAAAGUAAACGAAUUAUAUAAUGAAUUUAUAUUAGAUUAUAAUCAAAUAGAUUGGGCUUUAGAAUCAUUAGGUGCUAGAAUUGUAUAUAAAAUGACUAGUUCUCCAUUAAAUAAAAAUGAUUUUAUUGAAAAUUUUUUAAAUAAAAUUGCAUAUUUUUUACCAUCAGAAGAAAUUUAUGGUAUGAUUAAACCAAUGGGUAAAGACCCAUCUAUUAUUCUUAAACCAAAUAAUUACCCAGGUGAUUGUUUUUCUUUUUAUGGUAAUAAAGGAAAAAUAACAAUACAUUUACCUGCAACAAUUGAUAUAUCAUCAGUAUCUAUUCAACAUGUACAUGAAAACAUUAGUAAUAAUUUAAACGCAACACCCAAAUAUUUUUCUGUUUAUGCUGUUAUUGAUUCAAACUGGCCUGAACAUUUUGAACAAGAAGACAUUGAUUAUAAUGACUAUAAAAACAGUUCUCUUUACUCAUGUCUACAUUCUGUUUAUAACAAUAUGCAACCUGCCAUGCUUUUAAAAAAAUGGCUAGAAAAUGAAAAAAAACCCAAUGUUAUACAUAUUGGAGAUUUUUAUUUUGAUCGAAAAAAAAGAAUUGCAAAUUACCCCAUCAAACAUUGUUUGCCCGUUAAAAGGUAA
rnacentral:lncRNA from 1 species